rnacentral:misc_RNA from 1 species
GAACUGCGAUAAGUAAUGUGAAUUGCAGAAUUCAGUGAAUCAUCGAGUCUUUGAACGCACAUUGCGCCCCCUGGCAUUCCGGGGGGCAUGCCUGUCCGAGCGUCAUUGCUGCCCUUCAAGCCCGGCUUGUGUGUUGGGUCGUCGUCCCCUCCGGGGGACGGGCCCGAAAGGCAGCGGCGGCACCGCGUCCGGUCCUCGAGCGUAUGGGGCUUUGUCACCCGCUCGAUAAGGACCGGCCGGUCGCCAGCCGGCGUCUCCAACCUUUUUUUCUCAGGUUGACCUCGGAUCAGGUAGGGAUACCCGCUGAACUUAAGC